UACGGAGGGGACUAGCGUUGUUCGGAAUUACUGGGCGUAAAGCGCGCGCAGGCGGUUCUUUAAGUCAGGGGUGAAAGCCCAGAGCUCAACUCUGGAAUUGCCUUUGAAACUAGAGAACUUGGGUACGGGAGAGGUGAGUGGAAUUCCGAGUGUAGAGGUGAAAUUCGUAGAUAUUCGGAAGAACACCAGUGGCGAAGGCGGCUCACUGGCCCGUUACCGACGCUCAGGCGCGACAGCGUGGGGAGCAAACAGG
rnacentral:rRNA from 1 species